GACGAACGCUGGCGGCGUGCUUAACACAUGCAAGUCGAACGGAAAGGCCCUGCUUUUGUGGGGUGCUCGAGUGGCGAACGGGUGAGUAACACGGGAGUAACCUGCCCUUGACUUUGGGAUAACUGCAGGAAACUGGGGCUAAUACCGGAUAGGAGCUCCUGCUGCAUGGGGGGGGUUGGAAAGUUUCGGCGGUUAGGGAUGGACUGGCGGCUUCUCAGUUUGUGGGUGGGGUAGUGGCUUACCAAGGGUUUGACGGGUGGCCGGCCUGGGAGGGUGACCGGCCACAUGGGGACUAGGAAACGGCCCAGAUUCCUACGGGAGGAAGCGGUGGGGAUUUUUGCCCAAUGGGCGGAGGCCGGAUGAAGCAACGCCGCGUGCGGGAUAACGGCCUUCGGGUUGUAACCCGCUUUCGCCUGUGACGAAGCGUGAGUGACGGUAAUGGGUAAAGAAGCACCGGCUAACUACGUG
rnacentral:rRNA from 1 species